CCUUUGACGUUAGCGGCGGACGGGUGAGUAACACGUGGGUAACCUACCUAUAAGACUGGGAUAACUUCGGGAAACCGGAGCUAAUACCGGAUAAUAUUUCGAACCGCAUGGUUCGAUAGUGAAAGGUGGUUUUGCUAUCACUUAUAGAUGGACCCGCGCCGUAUUAGCUAGUUGGUAAGGUAACGGCUUACCAAGGCGACGAUACGUAGCCGACCUGAGAGGGUGAUCGGCCACACUGGAACUGAGACACGGUCCAGACUCCUACGGAGGCAGCAGCU
rnacentral:rRNA from 1 species